AUUAUGAAUGCAACAGAGUCAAACAUGAUUGCAUAAUGAAGCAGUUUCAUAAUGUCUGUACAAGGCAAACUUCACUGUGAGACGGUUCAAAACUUUCCCAUUCAGACACCAAAUUAAGUAAAUGUGAAACCUCCAACGUUAAAAUAAUUAAACAAGAACAGCUAUUCAGUUAUAACUAGUGAUCUUAGUGAUCCGACCACCACUGACCAAAUACUAAAAGAAUCUCUGACAAAACACUGCACGUACAACUGCCAUAAGAGCAACCAUGGCCCACAGCUUUUACGACUGAUAUCACAGACCAUCUCAGUCAGAUCAUUCUGAACAAAAGAAAGGAGGAACUGCGAAACACAAACCUAAGACCUAAAGGCGGAGCAACACAGGAAACAGAAGCUACAACGGCCAGAAUAUGAGCUAUUGAGCUAUAAGGUCCACUCAUUACGAUUUCACACAUAGGAUGCAAUAAAUAAAAAAUGGAGAUGGAGUAAAAGAUCUCACAGGGCAGUGCCAUAUCUGCAGAAAAAGAGGAAAAGAACUGCCCUUAAGACAUUGAGUCAAUAAAACAGACACUUUACCAUGCCAAGAGGGAAUGGGCUGCACUACUCCAGCUCAGAGAGGGGGGAGCGAGAGAUGUCGGCUCCACCGUGAA